rnacentral:tRNA from 1 species
GGCGCUAUAGUGUAGUGGUUAUCACUUGGGAUUCUGAUAUGCAGUGUUCCCAAGACCCAGGUUCGAUCCCUGGUAGCGCCU